rnacentral:rRNA from 1 species
UCCAGACUCCUACGGGAGGCAGCAGCGGGGGAUAUUGCACAAUGGGGGAAACCCUGAUGCAGCGACGCCGCGUGGGUGAAGAAGUAUUUCGGUAUGUAAAGCCCUAUCAGCAGGGAAGAAAGAAGACGGUACCUGACUAAGAAGCCCCGGCUAACUACGUGCCAGCAGCCGCGGUAAUACGUAGGGGGCGAGCGUUAUCCGGAUUCACUGGGUGUAAAGGGAGCGUAGACGGCCGUGCAAGCCAGGAGUGAAAGCCCGGGGCCCAACCCCGGGACUGCUCUUGGAACUGUGCGGCUGGAGUGCGGGAGGGGCAGGCGGAAUUCCUGGUGUAGCGGUGAAAUGCGUAGAUAUUAGGAGGAACGCCAGUGGCGAAGGCGGCCUACUGGACGGUGACUGACGCUGAGGCUCGAAAGCGUGGGGAGCAAACAGGAUUAGAUACCCGGGUA